rnacentral:rRNA from 1 species
GUGGGGAAUAUUGGACAAUGGGGGGAACCCUGAUCCAGCCAUGCCGCGUGUGUGAAGAAGGCCUUUUGGUUGUAAAGCACUUUAAGCGAGGAGGAGGCUACCGAGAUUAAUACUCUUGGAUAGUGGACGUUACUCGCAGAAUAAGCACCGGCUAACUCUGUGCCAGCAGCCGCGGUAAUACAGAGGGUGCGAGCGUUAAUCGGAUUUACUGGGCGUAAAGCGUGCGUAGGCGGCUUUUUAAGUCGGAUGUGAAAUCCCCGAGCUUAACUUGGGAAUUGCAUUCGAUACUGGGAAGCUAGAGUAUGGGAGAGGAUGGUAGAAUUCCAGGUGUAGCGGUGAAAUGCGUAGAGAUCUGGAGGAAUACCGAUGGCGAAGGCAGCCAUCUGGCCUAAUACUGACGCUGAGGUACGAAAGCAUGGGGAGCAAACAGGAUUAGAUACCCCGGUAGUCC